GAUCAAAUUGAGCGUAUCCAUUAAUUAGAGAGCUUUUAGAUCUCCUAUAGGGUGUCUCUUGGGUAUGUUUUGAGAUAUUUAAUUAUAGGUGCAAGGGCUCCAAUUGUUGGCGCCUAAAAGGAUUCCUAAUGCAAGUUGAAUAACUUAAGUCAUAAGGAUUCCUAAUGAAAAUAGGACUUGUAUUAUGAGAUUGAAUAGGAUUCAAUCCUUAUGCCUAUUUAAAGGGACCUCCCUU
rnacentral:lncRNA from 1 species